GUAUGAGAAGUUCUGCUUGGGGACUCUACUGGGGAAAAUAAAUCCCCAUCUACUGAUUGGAGAUAUUCGUGUUGAGGACCCUCUCUCGGCUGGGGGUUCUAAUUGAUGGUAGAGAUAUUCAACAGAGCCUGGCUGGGGAUGGAUGAGAUGAUCAAUCUGUCUGAUGAUGCCGACCUCUGUUGGGGAAUAGCUGGCUGUGCCGGGGAAUACUGCCAACUUCUUCUGGGGAAAAA
rnacentral:lncRNA from 1 species